rnacentral:rRNA from 1 species
UGGGGAAUAUUGCACAAUGGGCGAAAGCCUGAUGCAGCAACGCCGCGUGAGUGAUGAAGGCCUUCGGGUUGUAAAGCUCUGUCUUCUGGGACGAUAAUGACGGUACCAGAGGAGGAAGCCACGGCUAACUACGUGCCAGCAGCCGCGGUCAUACGUAGGGGGCAAGCGUUGUACGGAGUUACUGGGCGUAAAGGACGCGUAGGCGGAUACUGAAGUCAGAUGUGAAAAUCCCGGGCUUAACUUGGGAACUGCAUUUGAAACUGGGUAUCUAGAUUGCGGGGGAGGAAAGUGGAAUUCCUAGUGUAGCGGUGAAAUGCGUAGAGAUUAGGAAGAACACCAGUGGCGAAGGCGACUUUCUGGACCGUAACUGACGCUGAGGCAUGAAAGCGUGGGGAGCAAACA